rnacentral:rRNA from 1 species
CAGUAGCGGCGAGCGAACGGGGAGGAGCCCAGAGCCUGAAUCAGCAUGUGUGUUAGUGGAAGCGUCUGGAAAGGCGCGCGAUACAGGGUGACAGCCCCGUACACAAAAGCGCAUGUGCUGUGAGCUCGAUGAGUAGGGCGGGACACGUGGUAUCCUGUCUGAAUAUGGGGGGACCAUCCUCCAAGGCUAAAUACUCCUGACUGACCGAUAGUGAACCAGUACCGUGAGGGAAAGGCGAAAAGAACCCCGGCGAGGGGAGUGAAAAAGAACCUGAAACCGUGUACGUACAAGCAGUGGGAGCACCCUUUGGGUGUGACUGCGUACCUUUUGUAUAAUGGGUCAGCGACUUAUAUUCUGUAGCAAGGUUAACCGAAUAGGGGAGCCGGAGGGAAACCGAGUCUUAACCGGGCGUUAAGUUGCAGGGUAUAGACCCGAAACCCGGUGAUCUAGCCAUGGGCAGGUUGAAGGUUGGGUAACACUAACUGGAGGACCGAACCGACUAAUGUUGAAAAAUUAGCGGAUGACCUGUGGCUGGGGGUGAAAGGCCAAUCAAACCGGGAGAUAGCUGGUUCUCCCCGAAAGCUAUUUAGGUAGCGCCUCGUGAAUUCAUCUCCGGGGGUAGAGCACUGUUUCGGCUAGGGGGCCAUCCCGGCUUACCAACCCGAUGCAAACUGCGAAUACCGGAGAAUGUUAUCACGGGAGACACACGGCGGGUGCUAACGUCCGUCGUGAAGAGGGAAACAACCCAGACCGCCAGCUAAGGUCCCAAAGUCAUGGUUAAGUGGGAAACGAUGUGGGAAGGCCCAGACAGCCAGGAUGUUGGCUUAGAAGCAGCCAUCAUUUAAAGAAAGCGUAAUAGCUCACUGGUCGAGUCGGCCUGCGCGGAAGAUGUAACGGGGCUAAACCAUGCACCGAAGCUGCGGCAGCGACACUGUGUGUUGUUGGGUAGGGGAGCGUUCUGUAAGCCUGUGAAGGUGUGUCGUGAGGCAUGCUGGAGGUAUCAGAAGUGCGAAUGCUGACAUAAGUAACGAUAAAGCGGGUGAAAAGCCCGCUCGCCGGAAGACCAAGGGUUCCUGUCCAACGUUAAUCGGGGCAGGGUGAGUCGACCCCUAAGGCG